rnacentral:ncRNA from 1 species
GAGGGGGGACGACCCCCCCCCCCCCCUCUAAAAAAUGAGGGGGGACGUGUCCCCC